AUUUUUUUCAUAGAAAACUAUGUCUGCAGUCUCAAUCUAUCCCUAAAAGCGCUUUGCUGUGAUUGUAAACAAAAAAGCUAGUGCUUACCAUUGGGAUAACCUUAAUGUAACCUAUGGUAAGUCCAACGAAAAAACCUCUCAUACCGGCUUCUUUGUAAGUAGUUUGUACUACCUGCUUAAGUCUAAGAAAUGAUUUAUUUUUUCUGAUACCACCAAUUUGCAUUUUUCGUCGACAAACUUCGAAUGGGUAAGAAACCGUUUGACCACAAACUCCUGCAAAUGCUCCACAAAGUAGUUCGGGCCAAGUUUUAAGUUUUUUAUCUGACUUUUUUGUAGAAACCCAUUCGUCAAUUUUUUGUUUAUGAAAAAAAUCAGUUGCAAGAUCGUAGGCAAGAAACGACAUACCAGCAUAUGGAAAGAUUCCAGUUAACGUAACAGAAAAUCCACGAUAAAAAUUACAGAUUUUUGACAAACGGGAUAACCCAGGAUACUUCUUAUUGCACAAAAAAUCACGUUCGUGAAAUAUAUCUUUUGUAACUUGAGUUAGGGUAGGAUUCUUCCCUGUAUUGGUUAUGUAGGCUAAACGAACACGAAUCAGCUCUAACGGGUAUGUAAAAAAAACAGAGCAAGUUCCGGCAAGUGAUCCUGAUAAAAAUCGCCGAGCAUGUGUUUCAUGUUCAGGGUCACGAAUUAAAACACGCCGUACUUGUUCGUAUGCAACAAAUUUAAUGCCCGCAUAAGGGAAGACUCUGUAUAAAGUAGCAGUGUGGCCUUGAUAAAGACCGUGUAAGCCAUAGACGUGGUAAAUGUGUUUGAUAGCCUUAUAAAGCCCAUGCCGUGAAUAAGCAUACCCUCGAUAAGAAGCGUGAUUGGUUUGGUAAAGGAUUUUCACUCUAUCUAAUGGGGCAACUACUGAUUUUGCAACGCAUCCAGCUGUACCACCAGCAAUUCCAGAUUUGACUAAGAAUUCCCAUGAAUCCUUUUCCGGAUAUUGGGCAGUUGAGUUAGGCAUGUAGAAUCCCUGAAAGUGUUUAAGUUAAAUAAAGAGGGGAUUAAAAAGAUAAAUGGAAGGACAAAACUUUUCGUACCAAAUGCCUAAACAUAAAAAAAUUGUUAAAACUGAACGUUUUCAACUUCUUACUACAAACAAAAUUACAUGUAAAUAAGAUUUAGCAUCAAAUGUCCAAAUAUCUUGGAUCAAUAACAGUGAUUGAAGGAACACGAGAACACUUAUAGUAGUAGCAAACAGUAAUCUGAAUAG